rnacentral:rRNA from 1 species
AUUGAACGCUGGCGGCAUGCCUUACACAUGCAAGUCGAACGGUAACAGGUCUUCGGAUGCUGACGAGUGGCGAACGGGUGAGUAAUACAUCGGAACGUGCCUAGUAGUGGGGGAUAACUACUCGAAAGAGUGGCUAAUACCGCAUGAGAUCUACGGAUGAAAGCAGGGGAUCGCAAGAACUUGUGCGACUAGAGCGGCCGAUGGCAGAUUAGGUAGUUGGUGGGAUAAAAGCUUACCAAGCCGACGAUCUGUAGCUGGUCUGAGAGGACGAUCAGCCACACUGGGACUGAGACACGGCCCAGACUCCUACGGGAGGCAGCAGUGGGGAAUUUUGGACAAUGGGCGCAAGCCUGAUCCAGCAAUGCCGCGUGCAGGAUGAAGGCCUUCGGGUUGUAAACUGCUUUUGUACGGAACGAAAAGCCCUGGGUUAAUACCCUGGGGUCAUGACGGUACCGUAAGAAUAAGCACCGGCUAACUACGUGCCAGCCGCCGCCGUAAGAC